UAGGCUGGGUGUGUAAGUGCAGCGAUGCAUUGAGCUAACCAGUACUAAUGAUCCGUGAGGCUUAACCUUACAACACCGAAGGUGUU
rnacentral:rRNA from 1 species